rnacentral:rRNA from 1 species
GAUGAACGCUGGCGGCGUGCUUAACACAUGCAAGUCGAACGGAAAGGCCCAGGCUUGCUUGGGUACUCGAGUGGCGAACGGGUGAGUAACACGUGGGUGAUCUGCCCUGCACUUCGGGAUAAGCCUGGGAAACUGGGUCUAAUACCGGAUAGGACCACAUUUUGGAUGGUGUGGUGGAAAGUUUUUCGGUGUGGGAUGAGCUCGCGGCCUAUCAGCUUGUUGGUGGGGUAAUGGCCUACCAAGGCGUCGACGGGUAGCCGGCCUGAGAGGGUGUACGGCCACAUUGGGACUGAGAUACGGCCCAGACUCCUACGGGAGGCAGCAGUGGGGAAUAUUGCACAAUGGGCGCAAGCCUGAUGCAGCGACGCCGCGUGGGGGAUGACGGCCUUCGGGUUGGAAACUCCUUUCGCUAGGGACGAAGCGUUAUGUGACGGUACCUGGAGAAGAAGCACCGGCUAACUACGUG